rnacentral:snoRNA from 1 species
GUCCAAAAUACAGUGAUAAUGUCUUUUCCAAACAUAUAUCUGAUAGCUCUGUGUGGAAAAUGACUGUUACUGCAUGAUUUUUGGAU